rnacentral:lncRNA from 1 species
CCAAUCCUACAUAGUAUCUAAUCUACGUUGAUACAUAUGUUUUGGCUAGACUCGUAUGGUUUUGAGAUCACAAUGUUUGAUCUAUGACCCUACCAACAUCAUAAAGUAGUACAAUCCCACGAUGCUGGUCUUACCAACACAAAAAUGAACCACCUAAUGUUCCCAUCCCAUAGUCCUUCUGAUCAUUGUUGGAUUUGUUUAUUCACAUACCUGCCUUCCUACUUGUCAUAGCUUCAGUAUAUUUCACACAUUAUUUUGAACACGGCUAUUUUGGUACUUGUAUGAUGUAUCUCACCUUAGCAACCAUGGAAACUGGUCUUGCAUCUAAUGAGGAAUCCAUUUAUUUCGUCAUAUCCAUGCUCACAAUGUUCUUCUUCGUUUGUUCAGUUUCAUCCUUCACUUUUUCUCAAUCAGAUUCACAGGAGUCUGUCCCAAGUAUAUCUGUCGUUGGACUGAAGGGUGCUAUACUAUGGAAUCAUGGUAUGAAACUAUGAAUACAACUACGCGGCCAAAUUUUGUUGCGGAAACUAUCUUUCUUUAGUCACAGUUUGGACCAGUGCUUAAUUGAUUCUUUUGGCAGAGGGUUAUAUUAGCCCAAAAGAUCUUAAGGAAAGCAUUGAGGAAGCUUGGGCUGCCCUUCAUCUGUAGCUAUAACCUAUAACUUAGAUCACUUGUUAAAGUUUACUGCCAGCCUGUUUUCUAUAGAGUUGCAGCUCUGUUUUCUUGAAAAUUGACGCUGUAAUUUCUUGUUUUCUUAUAAUUGAUCCUGUAAAUUAUUC